CGUUUUUCGGCGUGUGCCGGAGGCGCGCCGAGCACUGGGGACCGGUGACUCUGGGCGGGAGGUUGGGAGGGGUUUACUGGAGGAAGCCUCUGAGGGAUGGCUGGUGGCCAAGAGCUAGGAGACGUGGCGCUUUGAAUGGGUUCUAGGGGAGGGGCUCUUGAGGAAGCCUGGGGAAGCCUGGGGGCUGCGGCGGGGCCGGGGAGGUGGGGGGCGGGGCGUGCAAGAGGGUGAAGAGCUAGGAUGUGAAAGUUGGACUAUAAAGAAAACUGAGCGCCGAAGAAUUGAUGCUUUUAAACUGUGGUGUUGGAGAAGACUCUUGAGAGUCCCUUGGACUGCAAGGAGAUCCAACCACUCCAUCCUAAAGGAGAUCAGUCCUGGGUGUUCAUUGGAAGGACUGAUGUUGAAGUUGAAACUCCUGUACUUUGGCCACCUGAUGCGAAGAGCUGACUCAUUUGAAAAGACCUUGAUGCUGGGAAGGAUUGAAGGCGGGAGGAGAAGGGGACGACAGACGAUGAGAUGGUUGGAUGGCAUCACCGACUGGAUGGACAUAAAUUUGAGUAAACUCCGGGAGUUGGUGAUGGACAGGGAGGCCUGGCAUGCUGCGAUUCAUGGGGUCGCAAAGAGUCGGAUACGACUGAGCGACUGAACUGACUGAGGAACCAGGUCACGGGGUGUAGGUCCAAGUCGCCCUAGUAGCUAUCUGCUUUUCUCCGUUCUUUUUCUGGGAGUAGUGUUGGGGUGGAAGCAGCUUCUACUUACUGUAUCACGGAUCCAGCUAGACUCUUUCAGAGUUGAACUCAGUUGAGUCCGAAGCCGGCACUCUUCUUUCUGGGCCUAGGUUUCGUUCACAAAUUAGGUUUGUCUCAACUUACCACGUUGCGUGGCUACAGUUUGCCUGCCUGACCUAGGGCGCUUUGGCGUGGUUUUCGCUCCUUCGCUUUUGGCUUUCGUUCCUGUCAUUCGCCAAAACUCAAAAAGGUUGGAAGGCUCGUGGGCAGUAUUAUUUUCCUAUUGCAGUUUAAUAAGAAGUAGGCUCAGACGGUAAAGCGUCUGCCCGCAAUCCUGGAGAACCGCGUUCGAUCCCCGGGUUGGGAAGAUCCCCUGGAGAAGGAAAUGGCAACCCACUCCCGUACUCUUGCCUAGAAAAUUACAUGGAUGAAGGAGCCUGGUGGGCUACAGUCCAUGGGGUCGUAAAGAGUCUGACACGACUGAGCGACUUUUUACUUUAACUUUCACAAUGUGAGGCGUAUUGGAUUGUGUUUCACAUGUAGAUGAAGUAGUUCCCUCGUUGCGUUCUAUUUUAAGCUUUUGUGCAAGAUAACAGAGAAUUUCCAAAAAUUCUAUUUUGUAUGCUGCGUUGACCAUAUCUGGGUAACAUUAGGAAGAAGUGAAUUUUCAGAUCUUAAAAAUACAAAGAUGAUAUUCACGGCUGCCUUAGGGUUUUGACGUUAUAUUUCCCUAUGAGAAAACUUGAUGUGUUAUCGUUAAAUGAUAAUUAGCAUUUUUAGCAAGUGUCUUAACUAAAUACAGGCUUUCUCAAAGAAUAGAAUGGGGAGUAAUAUUAAUAAGUACCGAAUGCCAAAAAUGUAUUCAGGAGUAUUUUGACCUAUUUUGCAACUGUGUUGUAAUGCAUAUUGUGAUUAAUGAGUGAAAGGGAGUUUGGUAAAUAAUAAACUGUUACUCUAGCCAAGCUUUAUACAGACUUAUAAUUAAAGACUGUAAUUAAAGACAGUGUAAAUUACAAGGCCAAAACUUGGAAGCUGUCAUUGGAACUACUUUAUCUAAAAGGUUCCAAAUUCCAUUUAUAUUUAUGAAAGUAAGUUUACAAUUUUACAUUUAUGUUUUGAUUCCAGAGACAUGAGGGAUAUCUUUCCUAAGAAGCCCAUUCUAGGUGAACACGUGAGGGCUUAUGAAUUAAGCUAUUAUACAAUAAUGGUAGUUGGAUAUCCCUGUUCUUUGGCAGUCUGGCAAAUACCGAUUAUGUAAAAUCCUAUCAGCUUUCUUUUUUUGUGUGUGUGACUCCCCUUUGACCUUAAAAAAAAAUGUUUACUGUAUUUGGUAAUACAGAUUAAUAAUAAUUUUUCACAUAUAGCUUUGUGUCAUCUUUUAAAGUAUUUUAAUUUAAGAACAAAAAUGGAUUCAUACACUAUUUACUGUUUUGCAUUUAAUGACAAAUGCAAAGUGACAUUUUAGUGACAUCAGCAUUCAUGUCACUUGAUAGAACCCAGCUGAUAAAACUCACCAGGAACAUACCAGCAGCCCCACAAUGUUGAGUUUAUUAACUUGCUGCAGAAUGAAAUUUAGGUAAAAUGUAAAUGAGGCAGUGCUUUGAAAGAGUCAAAGCAAAGCAAGCGGUGUCUAAAAGAGAAAAUAUCAAGCCUGGCCUGGAACAUCCUAAUUCCUUGAAAAUAGUGAAGUUAAAAGAAAUAUUAGAUGUCGUUCCUGAAACCUCUUUUCUUGAAGCAACUGGAUUGGAAAUGAAGACUGCUAAUUCAGAGUCAAAAUGACCCAUACAAUGAAAUACCACGAAGAAAUGAAUACAUGAAGCGGCAUAGCUGAAUCUCAACACAAAUAUGCCGAGUGAAAGAAGCCAGGCAAAAAAGAUUACAGAAGAUUCUGAUUUCCAUCUGGCAAGCCGACCUUCUCCCUUCAUGGCUCUGAUGAGGCAGGUUGCCGCGUUGAAGAGGCACUAGUGGCAAGCAACUGAGGGCAACAGUCAGUUGCAAACUGUGGCCCUCAGUCCAGCAACCAAAAAGGAACUGAGUCCUACGAACAACCAUGAGCUGCCUAGCCCUGCCGUUGAAGGACUCUUUGGGAGCUAUUAAUAAAGUUUCCUGUGGGGAAGAAUCACUUAUCUGAAGUUCAACAAUUCCUAGAGUAAAAUGAAAUCAUAAUUGACCAAUAGAUACAUGCCUCCCAUUUGUUUGGUGAAAUGUCUUUUUUUCUUCAUACCAAAUGGUAUUUUACCUAGUUUAUAAUGACGGAGAUGUCUCCUGUCAAAUGGAAACGCUACUAACCCACCUUUUUCUUCACUGGACUGCAACCCAGCCUUUGGCUCCAGUGCAGUCAUGAGUGGUAUACAGGGAGCGACUGUCCCUGAAAAGGUCCCUUUUACUGUGAAGGAACACUCCAGGGAGACGUCUCCUUAUGCCGUGUCUCAUUCUAUUUAAAGCCUUGUGGGCUUAGCUGUUGUCACCUCCUAGCUAUUUCUUUGGCUCGGUUUUAACUUUCAGCCCUUUAAAUAGAGCACAGUUUGAGACUGAAACAGAGCCAGAAGGAACAGCUGAUUGGCUGUGAAGGCCCCCUUGGGAGUUUCUGGUGCUGGCCUUAGAGGCUGAGCUGGUCAUUCUAAGAAAAACUGUGUGGGCAGUCCCAGGGUCUACUCUGAUGGCCUCAGGAGGGGCAUCUGAUGGACACUGGAAGGACUGGUACUCAAGCAGGAGACCAGAGAUUAGGCACUGAAAAACAAUUGCAGAAUUCUUUUUUUUUUUUUUCUUUUUUCUUCUUUUUUGCCAACCCCCACCCCCCCACUGCCCCGCCUCCUUCUUAGCAUAAACUUAUUUACUUCUCUGUUACACCCAUUCCCCUCAAGCUGUUAGGCCUUAAAGAUCUUCUCAGUCCCUGAAACGGGGGAAAAUGGCUGAGAUACACGAAAUGCGUUUUUUCCCUAGUGGCAGAAAAAGCUCACGAUUAACAUGCCCCACUUCUCUGUGAGUACAGGCCUCAAAAAUGUUCGUCAGAAAAUGACUCCUUGGGACCCCGGCCAUUCCACAUGGCUCACAGUAUCUCUGUCCGCACGCCGGAGCCUCUAAGGCACCUUUUCCCCCCUCUCACCCCGCAGAGCUGACAAACAUACAAGAAUUCUCUUGGGCUGCUUCUCUUAAAGCUCCGCCGCCUUGCACACCACAACUAGACAGGAGCACUCCUCGCGGCAACUAGAGAAUAGUCCACGGGAAGCGACGAAGACCCAGCGCAGCCAAUAAAUAAAGUAAAAAUUUACAAACAAAAAAAGUCCGCGGCCUUACUAAAAAUGUAAGACUUCACGCUUCUGGGGCCUCAACCCCCAACCACUGGCCUUAACAGCGCCGCUCGAGCCCAAGUCUCUGACGGCUGUGGGUUCUCAGGUAAAUCAUUGCUUCUACUCCCUGAGAGUGUGACAAAUCUGUUGCCUGGCCUUGGUUCUACAAACACCUUCCACGCAAGAGCAAGGCGAAUACUUACUGCCCGUUCCCGUCGCCAUCUUGGCCCCUGCAGAAUUCCUAAGUUAGAAUUUGCACAUGCAUAUUCUGUAGUAGUUCUGUUAGGGGAAACAUUGACUGAAACCGCCCUCCCUGGCCAGGCACCAUGGUAACCAUUUGUGUGAGUUAUUUUACAACAGGAGGUCCUGGUAGGGAACACAGAAUUAAUAAGCCACCACCAACCAGAAGAGUUCGGGGAAGGUCAAAAGGAGACACCACGUGCCCUACCACCUCCCAGAAUCCUUCUCGCUGGCGUCCAUCUUGGCUGAGCAAGUGUGCACCACCAGGAGGGACGCUGAGUCAGAAUUAUUGGCCAGAGACAACCUGGAAAUUCAUUCCAUCUCCAUAAAACCCGAGACUGCGAGCCACGUGGCCGAGCAGUUCUCCUGGGUUCUCUUACCCUCUUGUUCUCCGCCCAGGUUCCCCUUCUCAAUAAAGUCUCUUGCUUGGUCAGCUUGUAUGUCUCCUCAGAGAAUUCAUUUCUGAGUGUUAGACAAGAGCCCUGGAAAGGGUCCCCCUUCCUGCAACAGUUCUUCAGCAAUCUGUUGAAGACAAAAGAUACUACCUUCAAAAAAGCAAAAAUAGCUUUUUUAAAAAAAAAUUAAUUUUUAUUUUUGGCUUCUCUUGAUCUUUGUUGCUGUGUGCAGGCUAUCUCUAGUUGCAGCAAGUGCAGGCUUCUCUCUAGUUGUGGCGUAUGGGCUUCUCAUUGUGGUGGCUUCUCGAAUGUUGUGAAGUGUGGCCUCUAGGUGCAUAGGCUUCAGUAAUUGUGACUUGUGGGCUCUAGAGCUUGGGCUCAGUAGUUGUGGCACACAGGCUUAGUUGCCCCUUGGCGUGUGGAAUCUUCCCAGACCAGAGAUCAAACCUGUGUCCUCUGCAUUGGCAGGUGGAUUCUCUACCACUGGACCACCAAGGAAGUCCUAAACUAGCUUUUUAUUUAAAUUAAAUCCUGCAGUAAUCAAGAGAGAGAGUCCUGCCUUUCAUAUUUAGGUUUUGAAGUU